rnacentral:rRNA from 1 species
GACGAACGCUGGCGGCGUGCUUAACACAUGCCAGUCGAACGGAAAGGCCCUGCAUUUGUGGGGUGCUCGAGUGGCGAACGGGUGAGUAACACGUGAGUAACCUGCCCUUGACUUUGGGAUAACUUCAGGAAACUGGGGCUCAUACCGGAUAGGAGCUCCUGCUGCAUGGUGGGGGUUGGAAAGUUUCGGCGGUUGGGGAUGGACUCGCGGCUUAUCAGCUUGUUGGUGGGGUAGUGGCUUACCAAGGCUUUGACGGGUAGCCGGCCUGAGAGGGUGACCGGCCACAUUGGGACGGAGAUACGGCCCAGACGCCUACGGGAGGCAGCAGUGGUGAAUAUUGCACAAUGGGCGGAAGCCGGAUGCAGCAACGCCGCGUGCGGGAUGACGGCCUUCGGGUUGUAAACCGCUUUCGCCUGUGACGAAGCGUGAGUGACGGUAAUGGGUAAAGAAGCACCGGCUAACUACGUG